ensembl:lncRNA
AUGAUAAAUCUUGGCUUAUUGAAUAUCAGGUCCCUUUCUACGAAAGCACUUUUUGUAAAUAAUAUGAUCACUGAUCAUAAUCUAGAUGUGCUCUGUUUGACAGAAACCUGGCUAAAACCUGAUGAUUACAUUAUUUUAAAUGAGUCUACACCCCAAGAUUACUGUUAUAAACAUGAGCCACGUCCAAAAGGUAAAGGGGGAGGUGUUGCUUCAGUUUAUAACAAUGAUUUCAGGAUUUCUCAGAGGGCAGGCUUCAAGUAUAACUCGUUUGAAGUAAUGGUGCUUCAUAUAACAUUAUCCAGAGAAACAAAUGUUAAUGAUAAAUCCCCUGUGAUGUUUGUACUGGCUACUGUAUACAGGCCACCAGGGCACCAUACAGACUUUAUUAAAGAGUUUGCUGAUUUUACAUCCGAGUUAGUGCUGGCUGCAGAUAAAGUUUUAAUUGUUGGUGAUUUUAAUAUCCAUGUUGAUAAUGAAAAAGAUGCAUUGGGAUCAGCAUUUAUAGACAUUCUGAACUCUAUUGGGGUUAGACAACACGUCUCAGGACCUACUCAUUGUCGAAAUCAUACUCUAGAUUUAAUACUGUCACAUGGAAUUGAUGUUGAUGGUGUUGAAAUUAUGCAGCCAAGCGAUGAUAUCUCAGAUCAUUAUUUAGUUUUGUGCAAACUUCAUAUAGCUAAAACUGUAAAUUCCACUUCUUGUUACAAGUAUGGUAGAACCAUCACUUCUACCACAAAAGACUGCUUUGUAAGUAAUCUUCCUGAUGUAUCCCAAUUCCUUAGCAUAUCCAAAACCUCAGAACAACUUGAUGAUGUAACAGAAACUAUGGACUCUCUCUUUUCUAGCAUUUUAAAUACAGUUGCUCCUUUACGCUUAAGGAAGGUUAAGGAAAACAGUCUGACACCGUGGUGUAAUGAGCACACUCGCACCCUAAAGAGAGCAGCCCGGAAAAUGGAGCGCAGCUGGAGGAAAACAAAACUAGAAGUAUUUCGUAUUGCUUGGAGGGAAAGUAACCUAUCUUACAGAAAAGCAUUAAAAACUGCUAAAUCUGAUUACUUUUCGUCUCUUUUAGAAGAAAACAAACAUAACCCCAGGUAUUUAUUCAAUACAGUGGCUAAAUUAACGCUAAUUGCUCUCUUUUGUAAUAUACUUAUCGAUUUUAAAUUGGUUUUGUAG